GUUGUUUAGUUGAAAAUCAAUUUAAUAAUUUUUGAUUCUAAGUAGUAUUGACUUUAUCAGCUUGCUGCUUUCUUUUCGAAAAUUAUUGAAUGCACUUUUCAGUUAACAAGUCAACAUCAAUUUCUUUUGUUGUAAAAAGGUAAGAGGAAGGUGGCUUGCGCUUCGGCUCAAGUGUUUAUAGCCUUUUACCUCUGCAAUCGGAGAGAUUGAGGUCUGCAGCGUAGAUCCUUCGGGGUUAGAUACAUUUGUGCUAAGCUAUAGCCUUGUAUAGACAACUUGUUGACUAUGCUCAGUCAUGUAGCUUACUCGCUUAUGCUAUUUUACCUAC
rnacentral:rRNA from 1 species